rnacentral:misc_RNA from 1 species
CGAAAUGCGAUAAGUAGUGUGAAUUUCAGAAUUCAGUGAAUCAUCGAAUCUUUGAACGCACAUUGCGCCCCUUGGUAUUCCAUGGGGCAUGCCUGUUCGAGCGUCAUUUGUACCCUCCAGCUCUGCUUGGUGUUGGGUGUUUGUCCCCGUCUCCGCGCGUGGACUCGCCCCAAAGUGAUUGGCAGCCGGCGUACUGGUCCCGGAGCGCAGCACAUGUCGCGCAAACGAGUGCCUUGGUACGGCGGCGUCCAUAAGCCCCUCUCUCACGCUCUUGACCUCGGAUCAGGUAGGGAUACCCGCUGAACUUAAGC